rnacentral:rRNA from 1 species
AGCUCCAAUAGCGUAUAUUAAAGUUGUUGCAGUUAAAAAGCUCGUAGUUGAAUUUCUGGUCAUUUUUAGUCUUGGCUUCGGUCGGGCUAGAGUUGGCCAUCCGUCUGCAAGCUAUUCUCGGCCUUCAUUGGUUCGGAUUAGCGAGCUGACAUUUUACUUUGAAAAAAUUAGAGUGUUUCAGGCAGGCUUUUGCCCGAAUACAUUAGCAUGGAAUAAUGGAAUUGGACUCUGGUCCAUUUGGUUGGUUAUUGGAUCUGAGUAAUGGUUAAUAGGGACAGUUGGGGGCAUUAGUAUUUAAUUGUCAGAGGUGAAAUUCUUGGAUUUAUUAAAGACUAACUUAUGCGAAAGCAUUUGCCAAGGAUGUUUUCA